ACAGCCAGCACAUGAGAACUGUCAACAGUUAAUCCCACACCCACCAUGGAUGUCGCAGUUUUAGUCAGAUUUGAUAUGAUGGCAGCAUUUGUACUUCCCGAAGUAGCUUGGAAAGCUUUAGAUUUUCUUCCAUAGAGUGAGCAAAGAACAAAACCUCCGUGAUCUGUAUUUUUCUUACCAUAAGGGUCAGAUAGUAGGAUAAUUGCAGGAGAGCCCAUAUCUCUGAAGUCCAAACACCAACGAAGUUCUCCAGUUUUUAGUUCAAUAAGCUCAACUCCAAUAUAAGUAAUUUUCAACUUAAAAGGAACCCACUUUGAAGUCCUCCUCUUUA
rnacentral:misc_RNA from 1 species